UACGGAGGGUGCAAGCGUUAUCCGGAUUCACUGGGUUUAAAGGGUGCGUAGGUGGGUUGGUAAGUCAGUGGUGAAAUACUUUCGCUUAACGAAGGAACUGCCAUUGAUACUACCAGUCUUGAAUACAGUGGAGGUAGGCGGAAUGCGUCAUGUAGCGGUGAAAUGCUUAGAUAUGACGCAGAACACCAAUUGCGAAGGCAGCUUGCUACACUGUUAUUGACACUGAGGCACGAAAAGCGUGGG
rnacentral:rRNA from 1 species